ACCCCUUUCUUUGACUCGGAAAGGGAACUCCCUGACCCCUUGUGCUUCCCAAGUGAGGCAGUGCCUCGCCCUGCUUCGGCUCGUGCACGGUUCGCGCACCCACUGACCUGCGCCCACUGUCUGGCACUCCCUAGUGAGAUGAACCCAGUACCUCAGAUGGAAAUGCAGAAAUCACCAUCUUCUGCGUCGCUCACGCUGGGAGCUGUAGACCGGAGCUGUUCCUAUUCGGCCAUCUUGAAUUGUAGGCAUUUUUAAAAACAGACUCUGGAGAUGAAUCUUUUCUAGUUAUAUACUUUGUAUUACAUUUAUGCACUGUCUGCUGCCAAAGAUCUGAAACCAAUGAUCUCAUAUAUAUGGUACAGUUUUCUAGUUAUUUACAGUGGGAGAGUAAAUUAUCCAUGCUCAGAAGUAGUGUGUACUAGUCUCAGUAAGUCAAUGGGUUUCCCUGGAUCCAGGCUUGGAGAAAAUGUUUUCUCUUCUCUAUCUGCAAUUCUCCUGAACCAAUUCUGACGGAUAAUAUGACUGUGUCAACCACAAAAGAGGAAAAGAAUGGGCUUUAAAUCCCGCCUUUACAGCCAUCCAAGGCAGGAUUCCUCCUUCUGCACCUUUUUGGCACUGUUUCCUUGAGCUCUCCAUCCUAUCCAUCGAAAGUUACCCAUCCCAAAUCCUAUAUCCUCAGCAACUUUCUGGACAACUGGCUGAUCUGAAGAACCAGUUCAUACUCGUCUAUCUUGUUAUUGUGUUGACUACUCCUUCUUCAAAGGAUGGAACUUUAAGGAUGGAACCAAUUGGCUACAAAUCAUUUUAGCUGAUGCACUGAGACAAUUCUGAAGCAAACUGUCUUAUCCUGGAUUUUGUCAGUAACUGGAGUUGAAGGACUUGAAGAUUCUCAAGGAUUGAUCCAGAAUAUGUUCCAGCAAAAACUACAGCAGAGUAACUUUGACAAGAAAAAUGUUCACUUGCUACCUAAGGAGAGUCUCUGUCUCCUGACCUCUGAAUUUCGAAAUCCUCAGCUCUGGCUGCCACGCAGUGGGAACCGAAUGAGAUGGCUGGGCAGGGUUCUGCAACACAGCAGAAACCCCAGGCUUCCCAAGACCCAGGAUCAGAACUGUAUAAUGUCACUUCUGCCUCACUUUGUUGGACAAAGUAUGUCACAAGAUCAUCUCAGUGGUGGUAAAAUUAUUAUUAUUAUUAUUUUAAGGCAGAGUCUCACUUUGUCACCCAGGCUGGAGUGCAGUGGUGUGAUCUCGGCUGCUCACUACAACCUCCGCCUCCCAUGUUAAGCGACUCUCAUGCCUCAACCUUACCCAUGUUAAGCGACUCUCAUGCCUCAACCUUACCAAGUAGCUGGGAUUACAGGUGCAUGCCACCACAGCUGGCUAAAUUUUGUAUUUUUUUUUUCAUACUUUAAGUUCUGGGGUACAUGUGCACAACAAGCAGGUUUGUUACAGAUGUACACAUGUGCCAUGUUGGUGUGCUGCACCCAUUAACUUGUCAUUUACAUUAGGUAUAUCUCCUAAUGCUAUCCCUCCCCCCUCCCCCCACCCCACGACAGGCCCCGGUGUGUGAUGGAUAACAUCCUAAUAUUCUAACAUGGUGAUGUUAAUCACCUCUAUGCAUAUUGUUAAAAUAUGUAUGCAGUUUUACUAAAAUGUUAGAGAGAAUAUGCCUGAAAUUUAUAUAAGGAAUAAAAACAGAUAAAUCAACCUGAAAA